AUGGUGUGGAGAGUGGACCGCAAAGUGGGUGGAUGUGAGUGCGGGUGGUCUUAGAUUGUAUUCCAUCAACUAUGUACGUGAGUAUGUUCGUGAGCAACGCACCAAUUACCUCGUCAAGAAGUCAUUACCAUGCGCAGAAAAUGUUGAAAAGCAACGCGUAUACAACAUCCCUGCCUCCAGCACACCAUAUCGUACUACCCGCAGCAGCAGCAGAAGCAGCAGCAGCAGUAGCUAAUGCGCUACCAUCGAUGUUUAAUUUUCUUAAAGCUUAAGUAGAGCACAGCUCCUCCGUUUACAUAAGCCAUACUACCUACUUUUACUCUAUGCACAAUUCCCUCCAUCGCCAUCUCAAAUUGCUACUUAAGUUGGUAUUUUACAUUUAUACAGAAUUGCUACAGCUACAACAGCGCAGAAAAGUAAUGCCAGAAGAGUGCCGGAAAAGGGAAAUUCGCUGUUGACAGGAAAUACACUCGAAAUUGGCAAUUUUGCAUUUACGUUAAUAAUACUCCAGCGUAUUUACUACUACUUUAUGCGUCUAGGAAAAGUAGAGCUGCAAGUAGAUGGAGCAAAAAGACGACUGAAAUGAAAUUAUAGAAGCGAAUAACGUGCGCAUGGAAAUAGCACAGCAUGAGAGUGGCAGUGUUGGAGAGAUGGUUUAUAAAGAAAAGUGGAAGAGAUGUGCGGUUUAUUUUCACGUUAUACGGGUGCUGUGGAAGAAAUUAACUGAGAAUAGUACAUAGAAGGAUGUACUUUAAAUGUAGCAACACAGACGAUACUUGCUGUGCCGCAUAGCCGUCAACAACAACAAAAUCAUGGCUGUCUUCCCGGUUGUUGUUGUUGUUGCCAUGGACUUUGUCGACGUUGUCAUCGUCGUAAGCCAAUAUGACGCGCAAUUAUUUGUAAUGGAGACGUCAUAAAAAACAGCGCACAGCUAAAUAAAAGUAGAGUAAAAGUAUUAAGUUGAAAAAAAUGAAAGACAAGUUAGGCGAGCUGGCGUAUUUGGGGAGGCUAAUCAGCGUAUAGAAGUGAAAUCGUAUUUCAAAGAUGGCGCCAAGUAUGGCGGCGCUGUUGGCAUACAAAUAACAGCAGACACACACACACAGCAAUAACACACGAGCUCUUCUUCGGCGCUGUCUCAAGGGACAAUGUGUGACACAAAAUAAUUUCAUUUUCUUAAAUUGCAACAGCUUUAAAAGUCCACACAGAGCACAACAAAAGGACAUGUAAUCAAAUUAAAUACGAGAACAAUGAUAUUCCAGCAAGGCAAAGGAAGAAGGAUAUCCGGACUCUACGGUGGUAGACAAGUAUG